UCGAAAUAAAUACAUACUUGCACUCUUAGCUUCAAAAGCAUUGAAGUACGUAAAUGCCUACAUUGAUUAUGAAAGUGUAUGUACCAGUGUGGAUGGGCGUGACAUUGAUGGAAAUCUCUUAAUUAGUUGUGAGGACGUCUUGUUAGCCUACAACCUCGUCUUUUAAUGGAAGUUACAGAGGUAAACAUUUUUUGCUGAAAGGAAUACAUGAUUUAAAGCUUUGUCAACUCACUGGAUUUACGGAAUUAAUAUGUCUAGUAUUUUUAUGGCUAAUUACCGCCUAGGACAGUUGAGGAAAAGGGAUAAAGAAGAACAACAGAAACAAAAACGGACCCGUAAAAUAAAGUCUGAGCAGCAUGUGACAGAAAGCAUUAGAUCAGAUACCUCAACACCAAGCUACAAAACAACCACAGUAUGCCACAACACCUCAACCCCAAGCCACACAACAAUAUCAAGCCACAAAACCUCAACACCAAACCACACAACAACAAGAGUAAGCUGUAAAAAAGAAAGUGUCAAACUAACAAUAGUCAGAGACAAAUGAUCAAUUGGAAACAGCCGGUGACAUUGUUAAAACAAGCUUAGUAGAAAUAUAAAAAAAAAUGUUUUGUUUAAGUAUAUUGUUUUUAACUGA